rnacentral:rRNA from 1 species
UACGGAGGGUGCGAGCGUUGUCCGGAAUCACUGGGCGUAAAGGGCGCGUAGGCGGUCAGCACAAGUCAGUUGUGAAAUCUCCGAGCUUAACUCGGAAAGGUCAACUGAUACUGUGCGACUAGAGUGCAGAAGGGGCAACUGGAAUUCUUGGUGUAGCGGUGAAAUGCGUAGAUAUCAAGAGGAACACCUGCGGCGAAGGCGGGUUGCUGGGCUGACACUGACGCUGAAGCGCGAAAGCCAGGGGAGCGAACGGG